GUACUCAAUUCCUUUUUCGUCAGCUCCACAUGCCAAUCGUCGAUUCAAGUACGAAUGGCAAGUGCAGUUUGCGAGAAGGAAGACUCC
rnacentral:pre_miRNA from 1 species